rnacentral:lncRNA from 1 species
AUGAUUGUUGAUUAUUUAUGUUUCACGAGGAUUGAAACACGAGUUGGUAUACAAACACAUGAAGUCAUUUAAAGAAAACAUAAAAGUGCACUAUUACAGAAACAUAAUUAACAAAGUAGAACCGACAUAUAAGUUCAGUAAUUAAAAAGUAAAUAGAAACUAAUUAAGCAUAUAUAGCUUUAAGGGUUUAGGAUAAGUUAAGAUCAGUACAAUCACUAGCAGCAAAAGACAAUAUUUUCCGUUCAAGAUCAUAUUCCACUUGAAAAUUAACAUGCGCUAAAUUUCCAAGGAUGGAAAAACCUUGGAUAUGGGAUGGUACUACUGUCAAGCACAGCAAGUAGUUUUCAACCAAUAAAAACAAGUUCAAAGGAGUCAAGGUAAUGUUAGCUCCAUUAAAAUGCAAGAUCGUAGAAGGAAAUUUGAAAUUUGGUUGAGAAGGAAAACAAUAGUGGAACGGUUUUGGAACAUUUUGCACUGACUCAAUCCCAAUUGUUUGUUUCAUGGAAGUUAGAAAAUUAUCAAAAAAUGGUUGUUCAAGAAGUGUCAAUGUUGUCCCUGAAUCAAUGACAAUGUUACCAUCGGUUCGACCGGUUUGAAGUGUGUUUUGUCCGAUAGUUAUGCCCUGAAGAUUGAGUUGGUAAAGAAAAUGUUGAGAAGAGUUCAUUAGGAGAGGAGUAGACACAACACUGUCACCUUUUAUAAUAGCUUGAUUCCCAAAUUUCAAUUUACUAGCUGAUUUUGAAUUAAAAGGAAGUAAACAAUAGGAGAAUUUCCUACCAAUAGAAUCACCAAGUUGUGAAAUUAGUGACAAUGGCCCUGCUCCUAGACCAACAAUUCCUACUGGUUUACCACUAGUAUCAGCUGUGAAAUUAUUGUAAUAUCCACAUCCAAACAUAGACUUAGGAAUUGUAACAUUAGAACCAAAACUAAUGGAAUCAAAAACCAAUUCACCAAGAGUGAAUGAUUUGUCACCAUAAAAUAAUGAGUAUAAACAUUGUUGUGAUUUUCCACAUGCGUGUUGAUUUGGUGGAAGUAGUGUGCAAGAUUGUGAAUGACAUGGCACUUUUGUGAAAGUUGAAGACUUGCUGCUAACAUAUAAUGGAGUGUCUUGAUGGAAACAACUCGCACAUGGAGAACAUUGUACCCAUGUAAGAUCACUCCCUGUGUCAACAAUAGCAAAUCUUUCAACCGGGGGGGUGCCAAUAUAAAUUCUAAUCAGAAAAUCACCAUUAUUUGGAAUUAUAAAUGAUUCGGGUGAUUCAUUUUCAUUUGACAACAGAGAAAGUGAAAAUCUCUUAAGUCUACUACUUGAACGUGAAUCUGCAUUUUUUAAUAGAUCUAAUGUGGACAUUGAGGGAUUGUAAUAGGGUGACAUAGCAGAAUCACGGUGAAUAAGAUCAAUGCUAAAACCACUUUCGAUUUUACUUGCUUCAAUAAUUGAUAUUGAAAAAACUGAAUAUAGUGCUAAAAUGAAGAAUACUAAAGCAUUCAUUAUGUUCUAGGAAAUACUACACACUGAAAAAGCAUCAAAGGAAGCAAGUUAAAGUAUUUCUAUUUAUGCAUUUUUUUUAGUUAGUACUAAAGAUUUUAUUUUUGUUAAUUAAUCAAAAAUAUUUACCUCAUAUGAUAAUAUUAUAAACUAAUUAACAACUUACAUUUUAAUUUUACUUCUAUUCUUGUAUUAACUAAUUGCUAACUUCUAUAUCCCUGCCUUAUGAUCUUUACUUAAAUAUUUAUAAAACAAAAACGGCCAAAUAAAAUUUUUGCACCAAAAAAUAUAAAAUGUUAAACUAUAUAAUGUUAUUAGGAAUAUCAAAAGCCACUUCAAAUAUAGAACGUAAAAGUCAUUUUCUAAAAGGCAGUGUUUUCUAAAAGGCAAUGUCUUUACUCAUAAAUCAAAAGUCAUAAAAAUAAGAAAAUAGUAUUUUUUCCUAAAAAAAUAAAACAGUUUUUUUUUGCUAAAAUAGAAAAUAGUAUAAUACAAUGAGAUAUGACUCUGUAACACAUUGAAAACUGAAGAAGAGCCGUAACGAAUAGACAUGUAAAACGUUUAGUUUACUAUAUGUAAUUACUCCACUCUACUAAAUUUACGGUUGAAAAUGAAUCAAAUUUGAAUUCAACUCGACUCGAUAAGAAUGAGUUUAAUUCGAAAUUCAACUCAAGUUUGCUCCAAAUUUUUUUUUUAACUCGAACUCGACUCAACUCAAGUUGAUGAACAAUUUAGUUCAGUUCACUAGAUCAGAUCAAAUGAACCAAAAAACAAAAAAAACUUAAAAGAACAACUGUGUUCUUUCAACUUUCAGUUAAAAUAUUAAUCAAAAUCAAUAAAAAAUUAACUAAAGGCUAUAUAUAUAUAUAUAUAAAUUAGGUUCAAAAAUCAAUUUUAUUAUUACACUUGAUUGUUUCAUGUGUUGGUAGUGCACUUCUUAUAUAGGAGAAGAAGAUAAUGCAAAUGAGUAUAUUUUUCAACGUGAGACUUUAAUAUAUAGUGAAUUUGAAGAGAGUUUCUUGAAUGUGAAAUUAAGUGUUGAACAUAACUAAAUAACAAACUUUGAGAAAUAAUAUAAUAUUUAAAAUAAUUUUAUUUACUUUCAUAGUAUAAAUAAGAAUUAUAUACAUGAUUUUUAAUUUUUAAAUGACACUAAAUUUAUCUCAAAAUAAUAUUUAUAACUAAAAAUAUUAUCAUAAAAAGUAGUUGAUUUAAGCAAUAAAUGUAAUAUCUCACCUUAAUUUGUUAACAAUUUUUAUAAUAUGUUAGAGUCAAGAUUUGCUUUUCCUAUGAACAAUGGAGUUGUAUGUAUUUUUAGUAGCUUUUAAAUGAUAUAAAGAAAGUCUUAAUAUUAGUUUUUCAAAUUAUUUUUAUUUCGUUACAAAAUGACAUUUACAAUGUGUUCAACAUCGCCUUUAAAUAUUUUAUUACUUUCACCUAAAUUAAUUUGUUUUUACAACUCUCAAGUCAAAUUUAUUUUAUACAAAAAUAAAAUUAUAUAAAAUUGAUAUAUAUAUAAUACACACACACCGAGUAUGUUUAUAAACCAAAAGAGUCGAUCUAUACCUCAAGUUCAACUUACUUAUUUAACGAACUCAAUUUUCAACGCAAGUUCAACUCAUUAUAUUCAUGUAGCAAUUUCAACAAGUUAAUUAUCAAAUCGAAUCUCAAACCAUUUUCGAGUUGAUUCGGUUCAUUGUCAAUCCUAACUAAAUUAUAUGUAAAAAUAGAUUAAAAUAUGCUUAUGAAAAAGAAUUUUUUUUAAUAAAAAAAAACGAUAUCCAUUCAAUUUGGUAGAAUGCAUCAAUACAACAUAAAUUCAAAGUUGCUAAAAAAAUGGAAUAUGUAAAUGAACUCUCGUAACUUUCAUGUCAACAGCAUUAAAUGAAAAUAUGCCUACUAAUAUUACAAAAUUUUCACGUUCUUGGAAUAUCUAUACAUUCGGAUCUAUAACGUGGAUGACGUCAUAGUCACUAAUUAAUAUUUGUAAUAGAUCAAAACUACUAUGUUGAUUUGGAUCAAAUGAACAUUACAACAAUACGAGAAAGCCAAACAACAUUGCACUAAAAUGACAAACAAAAUAAUGUGACACUCAAACAACAAAAUUACCAAAUAUACAAAUGAAAAAUUUAAUGUAUGUAAAAAACACUUGUUUAGAUAAAAAUAAAAAACGACUUGAAGGGAUUAUUUGAUCCAAAAAAUAAUUUUAAAUCGCCUCUCGUAUACAUGAAAAAGAAAAAAGAACUUAAAUUUUUCUUAGGAAGAACUCAAACCUAAAUCCUAAACCGACGUUUUAGCCGGUUUUACAAGUCUGACCACUUCACAAAGAAGAAUAAAGAUGAGGGAGGAAUAAGGGACAAGAAAUCUAACUUCCAUGCCAGUUUUCUCGUAUGCUAUAAAUGAGAGAAGUGAAUGACAAUAUUGGAUAAAAAAAAAAUGAAGUUUUCAAUGACAAGAAGGUGUGAUGGUAUUUGUGUGUUGAAGAGAAUAAAAUCAAUGGGCUUAGAUUUGCAAGAGAAGAAAUGAAUUGCAAAAUGAUAAAAGAGAAGAAUGGGAAAAAUAUAGCAAGGAAGUUAAGAGAAAGAUGAAGAAUGGAUAAUGAAACGACGAAUAUAUAUUUCCAUUAUUAAUGCAUAUAAAUUAAAUCAUUAUUAAAUUAUUUUUAUUAGUUAUUGACAUAUUUUAAUUAUCAUAAAUAUGAAGUAAGAAAAAUUAAAUAAAAAAAUUAAUUAGAUGGUAUAAUUUAAAAAAAGAAAUUAAAAUUUAUUGAAAACUAUAAGUAAAAUACUUUGAGACAAAUAGUAUUUACAAAUCUAACCGUUAUUUUGAUAUCUAGGAAAUCUUCAAAUUAAGUUUGAUGGUUAUGUAGCAAAUGUGUAGGUCUUAAUUUCGUACUCCAUUUGGUCUCAAUUACAAAAAGGAAAAAAUCAAUACCAAUAAAUUUUAGAUUAGUUAUUUAGUAGUUUUAGUUUUGACCAACUGCCCUUGUUAUUUGAGAAUUAAUUAUCUUUGAUUAUGAAUUUUGUUAGAGUUUAGUUGGUUUUUUUUUCUUUUCUUUUUUAGAUGUUGAUAUAAAAAGGGAUUCUUUAUCUUUCAUCAUUUUUAUAUCUUCGAUAUUAUUGAUGGAAUAAAGAUGAAAUAUUAUUUAAUUUAUUCAACUUCUCCUCCAUGUUAAUAGCUAUCACAUAUCGCAUUAUAAUUGUGAUUAAAAAGGAUUAGAAAUAUUUUUAUUUGUGAUACAAGUCAAAUCUUAGUGACAACGAUAUUCAGAGUCUCAAUAUUAAUAUCAACAUAAUAAACUCAACUACAAUAAAUGUUAUGUCAUGAAUUACCUUAAAUUAUACCAACUCUAAUUAGAGUGUUAAACUCUUAUUAUUGAGCUAACACAAUAUGAACAAAUUAAAACUCUUUUUUUUUUUAUCAUUAUAUAUAUUUUUUGAAAUCAACUUUUUAAUAUACCAUAUAUUGAAAUUUAUAUAUAAAAAUGUUAUAAUUUUUUUUUUACCUUCAAGAGAUCGCAAAGCGGAGAUGGGAUGUGACCACCUAAAAUAAUUUUUUUCUUCUAUAAGAGGUUGCAUCCUGGAGAUGCGACCAUGUGUUGCCUUAUUUUUUAUUUUUAAUAAAGGAAGAAACACUAAAUUAAUAAAUAAAAUAAACUAAAUUAUAAUAAUAAAAUCAAACAAAAUAUAUUAAAUGAAAAAAAAUACAUCAAAGUUAUCGUAGUUGAGUAGAUGUGUCAAACAAAAUAACAUGGAGCACUAUAAUAUUAAUGAGCAUUUAAAAGACAAUUGUUGAAGGUCCACUUACUAAAACAACAUUGCAAAAUAUUUUGCACAUUGAUCUUUAUAUUGAUGACAUGGAGGCCAAUAUAAAAAGGACUAAAAUACACUGAAUUGGAACUAUUGAUGUGACAACUGCACAUGCCUUAGAAUCAAUAUUGUUUCAACGACCAUAAUGGUGAUCAUCUAAUCAUUAUCGGUCAUGUUUUCUUCAAGGCUCAAGGCGAAACAUUUUGUUUAAAGAAAAACGUUCUUGACAGAAGUGCAAACAAGAAGAUUGUUUCAAAUAAAGCAAUUGACAAUUGGCAAGAACGACCAAAAACUAUAUUUGGUCUAAAUUCAAUAUUCACAACCUCUCAUUAUAUAUAAAUUGAAGAUCAAUUGGAAGAUGAAAGCUAAUAUUGGAUGGACUGAGUACUUUAACCUAGACCAGUCUUAUGCUGUAGAUACUCUAGUUAAAGAGUUUUGGAGGUUUGCUGAUGCGAACAAAGAUGGAGAAGUCUCAAGUAUGGUUUUAGAGCUUCCUAUCAAAGUUGAUCAACAAACCGUUGUUGCUGUCACCCAAUGUCUUGAUGAUGGCACGAAAAAUAAAAAUGGAUAUGAAUCAAGAAUGAGGUCUUGUACAAUCAUCAAAAAACUUUUUGAAUAUCACAAUAUUAACUCCAAGUCAAUUCAUUUAAGAUUAUGAUUAGAUGUGUGUUACCAAAAGGUGGCUCUAUUGAUGACAUCGACAAACAACACUAGGGAUUGAUGUUGAAUAUCUCCCAGAAGAUGCAUACUAAUUUGCAACACUUGAUACUUAAGCAUAUAAGGUCUUGCAUCAUCAACUCAUAAUCAAGACAAUUCCCUACUUGAAACUCAUCAUAGUUGUGCUUGUGAGAACACAUCCCAUUAAGCCUCUAAAGAAAGUAAGGAGAGUUGUUAAAGAUGAACAUUUGCUAUUCUUCUCUUCACCAAUGUUCAAUAUCCAAAAUAUUAUUAAAAUGCGACUCAUUGCUACCAAUGGUUGUAUAAAACCAAUAAAUAAAGUCAAACGAAUCUCAAGACAAUCUAGUGGAACUCAAGACACUUAUUUUUUGGUUGGAGAUUCGUAGGUUCCAAUUUUUAAGGAAGAUAACAAAUAGAUAAUUCAAGAGCAUUUAAGGAUGUACCACUCUGGUCAAACAAUGUCUCUAGUUUGCUUCCUUUUGUCAAGAGUAGCUCAUAAGUUUGAGAAGAAAAGAAAAAAAGGCAAUCAAGAUAUCUUCUAGGUUAGAGAAAUAAGAAGAUGAUGAAAAUGCCAACGAGGAUGAAGCUAGCCUCACCUUGAGUUAGAGACCAAAUGUAAAUCCCUCUGUUGAGCAUAUUAGCUUUCUUAUUGAUAUUGUUAGUGGCAAUGAAAUAACUGAACCUGAAACUACUGCAACUCCAUCAGAACCUCUCUCUAGACAAAAAACUCCUACUCAUAUCCUCUCAACACCCUAAAAAAUCUCACCCUUAAACCUUUACUAUGUACUCUAGCUUUGAUUUAGAUACAUACACCUCAACCCUAGUUUAAAAUCUUGUAGCUAUUAGGUAUAGAUCAAACUCAUACCCUCUCAAUUUUGAAUUUUCCACCUCAACUCCAUCGUCUUCCAACUCUAACCCUCCAUAAACACUUACUAAAACAACCAGUCCAACCUCACCUAUCCCUUUCACACCUACUUAUAACCCUUAUCAGUGGCGGAACUUGACCUAAAAUUUUGGGGUGGCCGACAUAAUUCACUCUCACAAAUUUUCCUCAUGAAAAAAUAAUCAAUUCUUCUACUUUUCUUCAUUCUCACAAACUUAUCUAAAUCAAUCAAUUCAAUAAACAUAAAACAUCUUAUAUUCAACAAAAAAAAAAAACAUUUUAUAUAGACAAAAAAACUCAAACAAAAAUGCAACAAAACUCAAACACCUUGUAUGCAAAAAAAAAAAUAAAAAAUCAAACACAUAAAAUCAAACACCUUAUGUGCGACAAAAAAAAAACUCAAACACUUUAUGUUGACAUAAACUCAAACACAUUAUGUGCAACACAAAAACUCUAAACAAAAAUCAGCUAAUUAAAACUCCAAAUCAAAAUUUCAAACUCUAAAUCAAAACUCUAAACUCAACAAUAACAAUAUAAGCUUUAAAUUUUAUGCUAACAAAUAUCAAACCUAACAAAAAUCGACACUAACUAACAAAAAUCAGCAAUAACAAAAUAGAAAUUCGAACAUUUUGAACAAAGCAGCAACAAGAUCUAGAGACAGAUGACUGAUGAGGUUGCGGCGAGUAGAGAGGCAGCGACGAAUGGCCACGGACAGAGGCAGUCAGGCAGACGAACGAUUGGCCGCAGCGAGCGAUUUCGUGAGCGAGCAGACGAGCGAUUGUCGUAGAGAGACGACCGCACGUUUGUCUUGAUUCAUGAAUCUGAUUAUGGAGGAGGGAGAGAGUUGUGGCAGCUGAGCAAUCCGAAUAUAGUACUUUAAUAAGAAGGUUUGUAGAUUGGAGAACUUUGAGAGAUUUGGCAUUGGGUUGGGCAUCAGAAUGGGUACAGAGCAUGAUAUACAACUUUGGUGGCAUGGGAUACCACGAUAGUGAGCCACCCGUUGAAGAAGACGACAAUGGAGGAAACCACGAUAACGGAGACAAAGGUGAAGGAGAAAAUGGUAAUAAACCUAGGAAAAGAGGACAUUGAAACAUGGAAUCUCCAUGAAAACUAGAAACAUGCAUCUAUGAAUUAUUUUGUUUCCCACUUACUAUAUUAAAUAAAGUAUGAUCUAUUGUCAAUGGCGGAACUUGACUGAAAAAUUUGGAGUGGCUGACAUAAUUCACUCUCACAAAUUUUCCUCAUGAAAAAAUAAUCAAUUCUUCUACUUUUCUUCAUUCUCACAAACUUAUCUAAAUCAAUCAAUUCAAUAAACAUAAAACAUCUUAUAUUCAACAAAAAAAAAAAACAUUUUAUAUAGACAAAAAAACUCAAACAAAAAUGCAACAAAACUCAAACACCUUGUAUGCAAAAAAAAAAAUAAAAAAUCAAACACAUAAAAUCAAACACCUUAUGUGCGACAAAAAAAAAACUCAAACACUUUAUGUUGACAUAAACUCAAACACAUUAUGUGCAACACAAAAACUCUAAACAAAAAUCAGCUAAUUAAAACUCCAAAUCAAAAUUUCAAACUCUAAAUCAAAACUCUAAACUCAACAAUAACAAUAUAAGCUUUAAAUUUUAUGCUAACAAAUAUCAAACCUAACAAAAAUCGACACUAACUAACAAAAAUCAGCAAUAACAAAAUAGAAAUUCGAACAUUUUGAACAAAGCAGCAACAAGAUCUAGAGACAGAUGACUGAUGAGGUUGCGGCGAGUAGAGAGGCAGCGACGAAUGGCCACGGACAGAGGCAGUCAGGCAGACGAACGAUUGGCCGCAGCGAGCGAUUUCGUGAGCGAGCAGACGAGCGAUUGUCGUAGAGAGACGACCGCACGUUUGUCUUGAUUCAUGAAUCUGAUUAUGGAGGAGGGAGAGAGGAAGGCUGGAACUUGUAAGCAAAAGAGAGAGAGGGAGAGAGGAAGGCUGGAUGGAAGAGAGAGGAAGAAAGAGAAAACUGAAUUAGGUUUAGGUAUGUUUUGUAAUUUUUUAAUUUUAAGAUGGAUAUUUUAGUCAUUGUACUUAUAAUUUUUUUUUUUUUGGGUGGCCGCGGCCCCCCUUAGUCCCAAGGAAGCUCCGCCCCUGACCCUUAUUCACCUAUGUUUGUGGAUCGUAUAAAAAAAAAUGUGAUAGCAACAAAAGCUAUAAAUUAUUUAGUCUCUAAAACAUCCUCAGAGGACUCAUUUGCUUCUGACUCCACUCAACAUGUAUAUGAACCUAAUGCCUAUAUACCCUUAGACCUAACCCCUUUUAUCCCCCCUUCCUUAUUAUUGUUACAAUUGUAUUAAAUUUAACUCAUUCAUAUGGAUGGGAAUAGGCUAGACCGUCCACCAGGGGCCUAUGGCCUGACCUACUUAUAACCUUGUCUGGUCUGAUCUAUUUAAUAAAAAGGCUAGGCUCAGACUAUUUUUUAAAGCCUAUUUAUUUAAAUAGGUCAGACUAAGGCUUAUAAAAAAUCCUAUUAGGCCUAACAGACCGACCUAUAUAUGUUUUAUUAUUUAUUAAUGUUAUUUAUUAUUAUUAUUAUUAUUAUUAUUAUUAUUAUUUAUUAAUAAUAUUAUUCCUAUUUUAAAGUUUAUCAAUUAGACAAUCACUCAUUAGUUGUUCCAUAUUCGGUAGCCGUUCAAUUAGACAACCACUUAGUAGUUGUUCUAUAUUUGUUUGAGAGAUAACAAUGGGUGCAUUUGUUUCAGGAAAAAAAUCUAUUCUUUGAAAUCAAAAAUUAUAUUUUAGGGUUUAAAUGAUGUUUGUUUCAGAUUUUUAAAAAGUUAUUUUGUUAGAAAAAUUAUUUUUUUGUUUAAUAUAUAUAGAUAUGUACAUUGAUAUUGGAAUGUGGAGAGCUUCGAGUAGAACAUUUAAAUGUUUUAAUGUAAAUAAGCCUUUUAAAUAGGCUUUCAGGCCAGAUCAGACUUUUAAAAAGGUUAGACCAGAACGAAAGAAAAGUCUAUGAUAGGCUGUAGGCCAGGUUUAGGCCUAACAAAUUAAUCGUAGGUCAACUCAGACCUUUCAAAGUCUGACCUAUUUCCACCCCUAGCUACUAUCAUACAUUUGAAUGUUCUUUUUUUUUUUUUUUCUAACAUUUUGAAUGUAUCUCGAAAUUUAUAUUGAAGUUAGGUGAUUAUGUAACAUUUAUAUAUUAAUGCAAAUGAAGAUGAUUAUUGAUUAUAUAUGUUUUACGAGGACUGAAACACGAGUUAGUAUACAAACACAUGAACUCAUUUAAAGAAAACAUAAAAGUGCACUAUUACAGAAACAUAAUUAACAAAGUAGAACCGACAUAUAAGUUGAGUAAUUAAAAAGUAAAUAGAAACUAAUUAAGCAUAUAUAGCUUUAAGGGUUUAGGAUAAGUUAAGAUCAGUACAAUCACUAGCAGCAAAAGACAAUAUUUUCCGUUCAAGAUCAUAUUCCACUUGAAAAUUAACAUGCGCUAAAUUUCCAAGGAUGGAAAAACCUUGGAUAUGGGAUGGUAAUACUGUCAAGCAUAGCAAGUAGUUUUCAACCAAUGAAAACAAGUUCAAAGGAGUCAAGGUAAUGUUAGCUCCAUUAAAAUGCAAGAUCGUAGAAGGAAAUUUGAAAUUUGGUUGAGAAGGAAAACAAUAGUGGAACGGUUUUGGAACAUUUUGCACUG